rnacentral:rRNA from 1 species
CGUAGGUGGCAAGCGUUAUCCGGAAUUAUUGGGCGUAAAGCGCGCGUAGGCGGUUUUUUAAGUCUGAUGUGAAAGCCCACGGCUCAACCGUGGAGGGUCAUUGGAAACUGGAAAACUUGAGUGCAGAAGAGGAAAGUGGAAUUCCAUGUGUAGCGGUGAAAUGCGCAGAGAUAUGGAGGAACACCAGUGGCGAAGGCGACUUUCUGGUCUGUAACUGACGCUGAUGUGCGAAAGCGUGGGGAUCAAACAGG